AGCUGGAGUUGGACACCAGCAGCACUACGCUUUCCUGCCCGUGGGUCCCCGACCUACUCUCCUCGUUGUGUACCUGGACCGGCCAGCCGGGAGCUCCCCGGGCGUCCUCUGUGUGGCCACAAGAUAAUGAUGCUGCUUGAGCUGAACAAUUAAGGGUUCUAAAGUCAAAAUCGUGAGAUUAAUAAUGGCAGGGAAAUCUUCGCUUUUUAAAGUAAUUCUCCUUGGAGAUGGUGGAGUUGGGAAGAGCUCUCUAAUGAACAGAUAUGUGACCAAUUAAGUUUGAUACCCAGCUCUUCCAUACAAUAGGUGUGGGAUUUUUAAAUAAAGAUUUGGAGGUGGAUGGACAUUUUGUUACCAUGCAGAUUUGGGACACGGCCGGUCAAGAGCGAUUCAGAAGCCUGAGGACACCAUUUUACAGAGGUUCUGACUGUUGCCUGCUCACUUUUAGUGUCGAUGAUUCUCAGAGCUUCCAGAACUUGAGUAACUGGAAGAAAGAAUUCAUAUAGUACGCAGAUGUGAAAGAGCCCAAAAGUUUUCCUUUCGUGAUUUUGGGCAACAAGAUUGACAUAAGUGAACGUCAAGUGUCUACAGAAGAAGCCCAAGCCUGGUGCAGGGACAACGGCGACUACCCUUCCUUUGAAACAAGUGCAAAAGAUGCCACAAAUGUUGCAGCAGCCUUUGAGGAAGCAGUUCGAAGAGUGCUUGCUACUGAGGAUAGGUCAGAUCACCUGAUUCAGACAGACACGGUCAGUCUGCACCGAAAGCCCAAGCCUAGCUCAUCUUGCUGUUGAUCGUCAGAGAGGUUGCCUGUGCGAUCUAACCAACGUACAAUCACAGAAACAAAACACGGUGGAGAAGAGAAUUAGCAUUUGCAGCAAUGGAUCAUCUACUCAUAAAAUUAAACUAACCAUAAUGCUGCUUUGUUAGUGGGUGGGAGAAGAGACACAUCCACUCAUGGAAGAAUCAAUUUACUCAGUAGUGGCACCUUACAUUUAUAAAUUGUAAUGGUUGUCUAAUAACAUUUAAUUUAAAUAUGUACGUUACAGAGCUAAUAAAUGAGAUGAUCAAUACUUUAAUUAUAAUUAAAACAAAACACUUGAAUAUUCUGGAAGUUAUUGUUUGUUUUUCCUGGGAAAAUGGAGAACUACUUUUUAUAUGUGUAUAUUUUUAUGUAAUUAGCAUUCAGUUCCUGGUUGAGGGGAAAAAAAUUCCCUAAAGCAAUAAUGUUCAAUAAUAAAGAUUAAAACCUAAAAA